rnacentral:rRNA from 1 species
GCAGUAGCCGCGGUAAUACGUAGGGUGCAAGCGUUAAUCGGAAUUACUGGGCGUAAAGCGUGCGCAGGCGGUUAUAUAAGACAGAUGUGAAAUCCCCGGGCUCAACCUGGGAACUGCAUUUGUGACUGUAUAGCUAGAGUACGGCAGAGGGGGAUGGAAUUCCGCGUGUAGCAGUGAAAUGCGUAGAUAUGCGGAGGAACACCAAUGGCGAAGGCAAUCCCCUGGGCCUGUACUGACGCUCAUGCACGAAAGCGUGGGGAGCAAACAGGAUUAGAUACCCCGGUAGUCCCUGUCUCUUAUAA